rnacentral:lncRNA from 1 species
UAGAUCCUGAAACGCUCCACGUUCUAUCACACUGAUCUGAUUUUCUUCCAAGUGUAAGACACGGAGAUUCUUCAGUCCCGAGAAGUCCAUCUUUGUGAUUCUCGUUAUGUUAUUUUUUUCCAGAUCAAGUCUCUCAGCAUUCCUGGGAAUAUCCCUCGGUACAGUUUUGAGUCCUAGUCCAUGACAAUCCACGUUGGAAGCAAUGCACGUACAUUUAUGCGGGCAGCCUCCAACAGGCAUCCAACUCACGGAGCUCCAAAAGCCCAAGAUCAUUCCAAGGCACAGAAACUCACUUCUUCCACCAGACAUGAUUUCUCGAUCACUCCAGCGGAUAUAAAAGUGUGUGAGAGCAGCCAGCCCUUCAAGAUGAAAUGCCUCUACGAAGAAAGGAAAAAAAAAGAAAAAAAAGAAAAGAAAAAAGAAAAAAAAGGCUCUUAGUACAGCCCAUGGGAACCCACCACUGCCAUCAUCGCCGGAGCACCAGCAAACCUUCAAAGGAGCCUGAAAGGGUUACAUUAGGUGGAAGAAGGUGGGGGAUUGCCUUUCGGGCUCAGGUUUCCUUCUGUUAUCUACGAGCGGUACCAGAAGGCAGAUAGUUUAACAGAGCUCGAGCCAGAUGCGUCUUCAGAUGAAAGAGAAACCGGGAGCGAAGAUAAAUACACACAAAACAUCCAUCAGAAGCGGCGGCAAUCUCCCAAGCAGCCUCCUCCGCUCUGCAUCGCCCCACCUGGGCCGGGCAGGUGACCCGCGGAGGCGCUGGGCGGCAACUCAAAGCUCCGCGAGCUCCUCAGGCGCUGCCUGUCGCCGCUCGGCUGCUGCCGCCGUGGGCCGGCACCCGCGCGCUGACGGCCGGCGGAGCCGGGACCGGGAGGCGGCGAGGGGCGGACGAGUGGCGGCGGCGCUCCCACCCGCGGCGCUGCCGCGCCCGCCCGCCGCUCUCCAUUCACUGGGCAUGGCAGCCGGGCGAGCGCCCGCGGCACGGUGCCACCCCUCCCCCCUCCCAAAAUAUCAGCCGCCGCGCCCAUUGGCUGUGCGGCGUCUGACGUCACCCAAACGCCGAACUUUUGGAGCGGAGGGAGGGCGAAAGUUUGGGGCCGCUCCGCGCGGCGGUGAGGGGACUCGGGGGGACCCCCGGCCGCGUCUGCGCCCCGGGACGCGGCUCCCAGCGCUCCCCGCCCGGUUCGGGUUUCGGAGAGUAACGCGCGGGCUGCGGCACGAACAAGCCGGCUCCUGCCGAAGCGGUCUCAAGUUUCCCUCCGGGGGGAACCGGCCGCCUUUUGUUCGGGCCGUGCGCACUCCCCGAGUACCCUCUGGCGGUGGGAACCGGCCCGGCCCCGCUCACCCCGAGCUGCCCCCUCCCGGGAGCGCCCAUGCGCCGCGGGCUACGAAUUCACCGAGAGGGCGGACGGCAGGGAAAUCUGCUCUAAAUCGGAGGAAGCGGAAUGCAUCCACGUGACAGCUGUGUGCUGGUCUGAUGUUGGUUGGAGCUCCGAACAUUUUAUCUGAAGUUUAUUAAAAAAUGUGCCAAACACAAGACGCCGUGGAAAUGUUUAAAUAUUUAGAGAUGACUUGGAAAAUGGAGAGGCCUGAGGGAGACGCAAGUACGGCAUCUUUUUAAGUUUAAG